rnacentral:rRNA from 1 species
CAGCAGCCGCCGCGGUAAUACGGAGGGGGCUAGCGUUGUUCGGAAUUACUGGGCGUAAAGCGCACGUAGGCGGCUUGGUAAGUUAGAGGUGAAAGCCCGGAGCUCAACUCCGGAAUUGCCUUUAAGACUGCCGAGCUAGUAGGUGAGAGAGGUAAGUGGAAUUCCGAGUGUAGAGGUGAAAUUCGUAGAUAUUAGGAAGAACACCAGUGGCGAAGGCGACUUUCUGGACGAAAACUGACGCUGAGGCGCGAAAGCCAGGGGAGCGAACGGGAUUAGAUACCCCAGUAGUCCCUGUCUCUUAUAC